rnacentral:lncRNA from 1 species
AACUACAACUCUUAUGAUAAUUUCACACUGUGGGAGGCAGCCCUGUCAUAUACCAUCUUAGAGAACUUGCAAAAGACCCUUUGCUUCUUGGAGCUCAGUUUUCUCAUUUAUAAAUUGUGAGAGCCCUGCCCACUCUCUGAGUCGAUAAGCAUGACAGGGCAGGAUACCCAUGAGGAGUAACUUAAGAAGAGCUGGGGACAGCCUAUGCCAUGGGCCUCUGUCGGUGAUAGACUGCACUAGCGUGCAUCCAGCCAGGGCCUGAGCACACAAGAAAUCCCUGGAAGUGGUUCUGCAUAGCUGGUGCUAGAUCAGCUGCACCUGGGAGUCACAGUAGCAAUGUGUGGGUCAGAAGCCAGCAUCUGCGCAGAGUGAGUGACCUGGCGCUGGGGAGUCUGACAGUGGGUGAAGGGACCUGCCAGCCCCAAGAAUGGGAAUUCCCAUCCAGCCCUGGCUUUGUCCAUUCCAGUGACUUGGUCAGGGCCCGAUCUGCCCUUAGGCUCCCUUCCUGCUGGAACAUGGGGCCAUUGUUUCCUGCUUCUGUAGCCACCUAGUUCCCCCGACAGCUACCUGUCCAGAUCCUACCUACAACCAUCCUGCCAAGCUCAGUCCUGACCAGCCACUGAACUGCCUGAGCCCUGCUUCUGACAAAGGGAGUGAUGGCCCCUGAUGUGUCCGUGGCUCACUGCACUUUACAGGCUCUUGCACAUUCUUGUCUUGUUCAAAGAUGUCUGACCCCAUCUUUCAGACAAGGGAACUGAGGCUCAGGGUCACUUGCAAGGUCCCAGAGUGCAGAUCAAGGGUGACUUCUUUCCCUGCCUGCUUAAUGCUACUCUUGGGAAAGGCUGGGGGUGAGGCAGCUAACAGGACUGCUAGGACCACUCCAUUUAGGCAAAGCUUGUCUCAGUGGAUGGGAAUUUCUGAAACCUAGAGCUCUUCACAAUGCAGGUGUUUUCAGCAAGUGGAAGACAAAAGAAAUGAGGCUGAGGAAAUCCAAGUUCCCACUGACAGCUUCUCCUGGGUCUGCAUUACUGACCACCUGAGAGCCCUCAGUGCCGGCCCGCCACCCCCAGCUUGUUCUCCACCACUGCUCAAGUGACCACACAGCUGGUGCUCUCAGCAGCUCCUAGCUCAGGAACUUUCUGUGACUUCCCAGGGCCUGCAGAGCACUCCUGGCAUCGUUCCCCCACCAACCUGCUCUCAAUCCACCUUCCAGCCUUCUUUUCACAUGGUCCCCACAUGCCUUAGCUGGCCAUCUGCACCUUGUCGCACUUUGACUUUGUUCAUGCUACCUCCUCUGUCUCUUUCCCUACCUGCACCAGCAAAAUCCAUCCCAGUGUUCAAGAACCAGAGCAAACGCAUUAGCCCCAGACAGCCUGGCAGGCAGGAGGCUUCCUUCCCUGGAUUUCUCGCUGGAUGACCUUGAUGACUUGUUCUGCCCCUGGCAGUGACUGCUCUGCUCCCUGUCCUGUCUCCCCUGCCAGAUAGCACUCUGGGCCACGUGUCUGAUUCCUCUUGCUGGGCCCAGUACACUGGCACUCAGUGAAUGUUUCCUCAAUCACCAAAUGUAUUCGUUUCCUGGGGCCACUAUGACAAAGUACCACAUGCUGAGUGGCUUAAACAACAGAAAUUGAUUGUCUCACAGUUCUGGUGGCUAGAAGUCCAAGAUCUAGGUGUCAGCAGGAUGGGUUCCUUCUGAGGCUGCUCCAGGCCUUUCUCCUUGGCUGGGGAUGGCCAUCUUCUCCAUGUGUCGCUUCACAUGGAGUUUCCCCUGUGUAUGUGUGUGUCUAUGUCCAAACUGCCCUUAUUUUUGAGGCAGAGUCUCGUUCUUGUGGCCCAGGCUGGAGUGCAAUGGCGUGAUUUCGGCUCUCUGCAACCUCUGCCUUCUGGGUUCAAGUGAUUCUCCUGUCUCAGCCUCCCGAGUAGCUGGGAUUACAGGUUUGUACCAUCACACCCAGCUAAUUUUUGUAUUUUUACUAGAGAGGGGGUUUCACCAUGUUGGCCAGGCUGGUCUCAAACUCCCGACCUCAGGUGAUCCUCCUGCCUCAGCCUCCCUAAGUGCUAGGAUUACAGGUGCGAGCCACCGCGCCCAGCCCCUUUUUCUUUUUCUUUUCUUUUCUUUUUUUUUUUUUGAGACAGGGUCUCUCUCUGUCACCCAGUCUGUAGUGCAGUGGCGUGGUCACAGCUCACUGUAGCUGCGAACUCCUGGGCUUGGGUGAUCUUCCGGCCUCAGUCUCCUGAGUCACUGGGAUUGCUGGCAUGAGCCACUGCAUCCUGCCCAACUGCUCUUUUUCUAAGAAUACCAGUCGUCUGGGAUUAGGGCCCACCCUAAUGACCUCAUCUUAACUAUUUGUCUGUAAUGACCCUGUUUCUGAAUACAAUCACAUUCUGAGGUACUAGGGGUUAGGACUUCAACAUACGGAUUUUAGGGGGGCACAGUUCAACCCCUAACACUAAACAAAUGAGUUGUGAAAACCUCUGGACCGAGAAUGGCAAUGGCAGUCAGGUGCUUCACUCCCCUCACGGUCCAGUGUUUGGACACAAGAGUGAUGUGAUUAAAAGGAGGACUUGGGAGCUCAAGUCUGGAGAACAGAAUCAAGUCCUGGUUUGCUUCCUAUCUGUUUUGUGAUCUGUGUAAGUCAGUUAUUCCAAACUGUAUUUCUCUUUCACAUUAAUUAUAUUAAUUCCCAUCUCCCUUCCAAUCUCACCAGAAUUGUUUCAUUUUGAGGCACAGAGGGCUAAAAUGGCAGCAGAUUAUACAAAUCAAUACAAGAGGUCUGGACUCUUAAAAAUCAGAACUUACCAAUCUGGAGUUAACAAAGUUGGUAUCUCCAGACAUUUAUGGAAACUUCUAAUAUGCAAUGAAAGGCAAGAACCCUGGGCUGGAAGAAACCAGAUCACAUCUAGUCCCUUGGCUGAUGCUGAAACGCCCUCUGCAACAUGCCUACCUUACUUGUUGGAUACCUUGGUGAUGGGGACCCCACUCCUUAUAAGGCAAUGUAUUCCAUCUUUGAAAAACAGAAAUUUGGCCAGGCAUGGUGGCUCAUACCUGUAAUCCCAGCACUAUGGGAGGCUGAGG